GAUGAACGCUGGCGGCGUGCCUAAUACAUGCUAGUCGAGCGAACAGACGAGGAGCUUGCUCCUCUGACGUUAGCGGCGGACGGGUGAGUAACACGUGGAUAACCUACCUAUAAGACUGGGAUAACUUCGGGAAACCGGAGCUAAUACCGGAUAAUAUAUUGAACCGCAUGGUUCAAUAGUGAAAGACGGUUUUGCUGUCACUUAUAGAUGGAUCCGCGCCGCAUUAGCUAGUUGGUAAGGUAACGGCUUACCAAGGCGACGAUGCGUAGCCGACCUGAGAGGGUGAUCGGCCACCCUGGAACUGAGACACGGUCCAGACUCCUACGGGAGGCAGCAGUAGGGAAUCUUCCGCAAUGGCGAAAGCCUGACGGAGCAACGCCGCGUGAGUGAUGAAGGUCUUCGGAUCGUAAAACUCUGUUAUUAGGGAAGAACAAAUGUGUAAGUAACUAUGCACGUCUUGACGGUACCUAAUCAGAAAGCCACGGCUAACUACGUG
rnacentral:rRNA from 1 species